GAGAUUUCAUUAUUUUUUUUUAUUUCUGUGUUAGGCCUGUGACGAUAACAAGUUUUUGUUGUGCGAUAUAUUGCCCCAGAAAUAAUUGCGAUAAGC